GACCAAACAGCAUUCCAGAGAGAUAAGAUGUCAGCAGCAUGAUCCUCCGACCGAACCUGAGCAGGAGGACCAAGGAAGUCAACACAUGGCAAUCAAGAGCUCUAGGAUCCCCUGACUUGGACCUCCAACCGGCUCCACUCUGCUCAGACCAAACCACUCAUGCUCCACCAUCACAGCUCUAAUUCCGUGCCCCUGGCUCGGACCCCCAGCGCUAUUGCUUUCUCACUCCCUUCAAUACAAACUCCACAUCCAUCUGGGACUCCUGAUCGGUUUCUGCAUGUGGGUCAAACAACUUGCUAAAACUAUGACAGAGCAGCGGCCACGUGUCUCUGGCAACUGCGAUGCCAGGAUUGCUGCCAGGACAGCUGAGGAGAACAAGACGAGUUGGGGCAGGUCCUUCCAGACGUCCUGCAGUAAAAGGACGAGAGGAGUGAGGGCCACACCCAUUCGUGACAUAGAUGAGUUGAAGCCCAUCCCGUUUUGUCUUGAACAUAAAAAUGACAGCACAGAUUGUUUAGUAUUGUGACUGGCACUAUGUGUGUAACUUUUAGAUCCUGAAAUAAAGGCAGUAUAGAAACUUACAACCUGCUGAUGAAAAAAGUAAGGUAUGUAAGCGCACCUGACAACAGUGGGAAACAAUUCAGAAGAGUAGAGCACUAUGGUACAAGAUGAUGCUGAAGAAAAGCCUUGUCCUACGACUGCCACCAUUGUUCUCAGGGUUGACAUAUCUAAGGGAAUGUCACGGGAAUCAUUAAAUAUGACAUCUUGAUCAAUCCUUGGAAAUGCCAUGACACCAACUUUUUGGUAUCAAAAUGUUGAUUCCGAGAGUGACAGCAAGCAUGGUCAACAUUCCCAACAGCGUACGCUUCCGUCCAAUCCUGUCCAGUAAGAAGAAACUGGACAAUUUGCCCGGCACUUCAGCUGAUGAGUAGAGCAAUUGAGUGAGGUAGACAUUGAGGCCAAAGCCGCUGAUAUUGAAGGUGAUGCCGUAGAAAGCAAUUGCUAUGGUGAACCUAGGAAAGAGAGAGUGCCCUGUAACAUUGGGUAACCCAAACCCACAAUUGGAUGUGGAGAAAAAAAAAAAUUGUGCGCAGACCAAAUAGAACUAGUGCACAAGGACAGUCUUCUCAUUUUAGGUGUUUUCAUCAGGUCCAAGUAGGAAUACACUCGACUUCUCGUCUCUGUCACCACGAUGGAGGACAGAGUCUGGAAACAGUCAAAGGAAUAGUCUUGGUGACUUUUGAGAAUUAGAACAUUACCAUCAUUACGAGAAUAAUGCGAGCCUCAGGUUGAAGUUCAUGGCACAACGCCUCAAUGCCGUUUAUUUUGGCACAUUUGACGAGACACAAAUGAGCUUCCUCCAGCUUUCCGUUGGCAAUGAGCCAUCGAGCUGACUCAGGCAUCCACCUGGGGGUCGAAGGCAAAAAAUACUGCAUUUAGUUUUGAGGGCCAGAAGACUGAAAAUUGACUUUCCAUGAUUUGUACACAAGUAAAUGAAAUUUUCAUUUGAUACGACGUCCUACGGUCUGCAAAAGUCGAAUCAAGGAAAUUGGACAAACUUUAAGAUUAAAAGUUAACUUCUUCAAACACUCCGGUGUCCUUGAUUGGACUUUUGCACACAACCAUAAUCUGGAUGAAUAAGUAUUUACACAGUCACUAUGUCCACAAUGUCUCAUUUACUAAAUAACAGAGGGGUAGUGCAAAACAACCCAGGUUUGUAGAGGAUCAGACCUAUUUGGACAGUUGAUGUGAAUGUUUUGCACAAAAAGUGGGGAAACGUAGGGAAAAAAUAAUAAAAAUUGAAAGAAAGAAAUCUGAUGCAUAUACAUACAUUGUCUAUUUUGUUAUACCUCCACGUGAAGACACCAAAGAGGACAGGCAAAGUGACGGCAACAGUCAACCACCGCCAGUCGUUCACAAGGUAAGCAAUGGGUACGAAGCAAAUGCUCCCAAAUGUCCAGGAAAAGCUGUCAAGAAUUCCAACCGCCUUUCUGUGCUCUAUGUCCACCCACUCCACACCUGGUUGAAGAAUACGAGGCCACACACACAUACGUAGGAUGGAUAAAUGAAGCAACUCCUCAAAUAAUGGUUGAGUUGAACAUAAAAUGUCAUCUGAUGAUCUAAAAUGACUGUACAGAGAACCAAAGAGACGAUGACUAUGCCAGUCAUGCAAAAGCCGGUAAGGAAUCUCAGCACUGCGAACAUCAGGAAGGAUGUGGCGAAAGCACUGGUGAGAGCAAACAGCAUUCCAGAGAGAUAAGAUGUUAGCAGCAUGAUCCUCCGACCGAACCUGAGCAGGAGGACCAAGGAAGUCAACACAUGGCAAUCAAGACCAAUUGAUUAAGCGCAAGACAAAUGGCCGCCCGCUGAGAUGGCAAGAAACAGACAGGGCAAGGUGAGCACCUGAGUGACGUCAGACGUGUUGAAAAGCAGAUGAUACUGAGGCUCGGCGAACAUCCGACAGGAGCUGCGAGUGCCGUCCUCCUCCAAUGGGAUGCUGACGGUGAGCCUGUCUGCCUGGGAC